rnacentral:rRNA from 1 species
UACGAAGGGGGCUAGCGUUGCUCGGAAUCACUGGGCGUAAAGGGUGCGUAGGCGGGUCUUAAGUCAGGGGUGAAAUCCUGGAGCUCAACUCCAGAACUGCCUUUGAUACUGAGGAUCUUGAGUUCGGGAGAGGUGAGUGGAACUGCGAGUGUAGAGGUGAAAUUCGUAGAUAUUCGGCGGAACACCAGUGGCGAAGGCGACUCACUGGCCCGAUACUGACGCUGAGGCGCGAAAGCGUGGGGAGCAAACAGGG